AGGGAAUCUUCCGCAAUGGACGAAAGUCUGACGGAGCAACGCCGCGUGAGUGAAGAAGGCCUUCGGGUCGUAAAACUCUGUUGCCGGGGAAGAACAAGUGCCGUUCGAACAGGGCGGCGCCUUGACGGUACCCGGCCAGAAAGCCACGGCUAACUACGUGCCAGCAGCCGCGGUAAUACGUAGGGGGCAAGCGUUGUCCGGAAUUAUUGGGCGUAAAGCGCGCGCAGGCGGCUUCUUAAGUCUGAUGUGAAAUCUUGCGGCUCAACCGCAAGCGGUCAUUGGAAACUGGGAGGCUUGAGUGCAGAAGAGGAGAGUGGAAUUCCACGUGUAGCGGUGAAAUGCGUAGAGAUGUGGAGGAACACCAGUGGCGAAGGCGGCUUUCUGGACUGUAACUGACGCUGAGGCAUGAAAGCGUGGGGAGCAAAC
rnacentral:rRNA from 1 species